CACGUAGGGUGCGAGCGUUGUCCGGAAUUAUUGGGCGUAAAGAGCUCGUAGGCGGCUUGUCGCGUCGGAUGUGAAAGCUUGGGGCUUAACCCUGGGUUGGCAUUCGAUACGGGCAGGCUGGAGUUCGGUAGGGGAGAUCGGAAUUCCUGGUGUAGCGGUGAAAUGCGCAGAUAUCAGGAGGAACACCGGUGGCGAAGGCGGAUCUCUGGGCCGAUACUGACGCUGAGGAGCGAAAGCAUGGGGAGCGAACAGG
rnacentral:rRNA from 1 species